rnacentral:rRNA from 1 species
CCUACGGGAGGCUGCAGUGGGGAAUAUUGGACAAUGGGCGAAAGCCUGAUCCAGCCAUGCCGCGUGUGUGAAGAAGGCCUUCGGGUUGUAAAGCACUUUCAGUGGGGAAGAAAGCCUUGGGGCUAAUACCCUCGAGGAAGGACAUCACCCACAGAAGAAGCACCGGCUAACUCCGUGCCAGCAGCCGCGGUAAUACGGAGGGUGCGAGCGUUAAUCGGAAUUACUGGGCGUAAAGCGCGCGUAGGCGGUCUGAUAAGCCGGUUGUGAAAGCCCCGGGCUCAACCUGGGAACGGCAUCCGGAACUGUCAGGCUAGAGUGCAGGAGAGGAAGGUAGAAUUCCCGGUGUAGCGGUGAAAUGUGUAGAGAUCGGGAGGAAUACCAGUGGCGAAGGCGGCCUUCUGGACUGACACUGACGCUGAGGUGCGAAAGCGUGGGUAGCAAACAGGAUUAGAUACCCCUGUAGUC